rnacentral:lncRNA from 1 species
AUGUUUCUCCUGAUUGUCUUUCCUUCUUUGUAUCCCUUAGGCCUAAGUCCAGCCGCUGCAGCCGCCGCCGCCAAAGCAGCCAAAUAUGGUCUGGGUCCAGGCGGUGUUGGGGCCAUCCCAGGUGGCGUUGGUGUUGGUGGCAUUCCUGGUGUCGGCGGUGUUCCCGGAGUCGGUGUCGGUGGCGUUCCUGGUGCUGGCAUUGGAGGCGUUCCGGGUUUGCCAGCAGCUCCAGGCGCCGGGGCCUCGGCUGCAGCCGCAGCUAAGGCAGCCGCAAAAGCCGCAGCGUAUGGAAGAGGAGUCGCUCCUGGCUACGGAGGAAUCGGUGGCAUUGGAACCGGUGGCAUUGGAACUGGUGGCCUCGUGCCCGGCGGUGUCGGUGUCGGCGGUCUAACUCCGGGAACUCAAGCAGCCGCCGUUGCAGCAAAAGCAGCCGCCAAAGCAGCGAAAUACGGAGCCGGUGGAGCGAGGGGUCUCGUUCCUGGGGCAGGAGUCGGUGGUCUGGUGCCAGGCGUUGGCGGCGUUGGAGGUGUUGGAGGCAUUGGCGGCGUCGGUGGCGUUGGCGGCGGUCUCGUUCCAGGCGCUGGAGGAGCCGGGAGCAUCAGCGCAGCCGUGGCAGCUAAAGCGGCAGCAAAGGCAGCUAAAUAUGGUGCUGGAAGAGGUGGAGUCUUACCUGGAGGUGGAGUCCUACCUGGAGGUGGAGUCUUGCCAGGGGGCGGAGUCUUACCUGGAGGUGGAGUCCUACCUGGAGGCGGAGUCUUGCCUGGAGGUGGAGUCGUCCCUGGAGGCGGAGUCUUGCCUGGCGGAAUCCCUCAAAUCGGAGUACAGCCUGGAGCCAAGCCCCCUAAAUAUGGUGUGCCAGGAGCCGGACUGGGUGGACUUGGCGUUCCAGGUUUUGGUGGUCGAGGAGGUGGCUUGGUCCCAGGAGCCGGUGGUGCUGGUUAUGGUGGGCUGGGAGCUGGAGGCCUCUCUCCUGGGUUGACGUAUCCAGGGGCCGGCGGUAAACCACCCAAACCAGGUUAUGGUGGUGGACUUCCCGUUAAUGGACUGCUUCCUCAAGUUGGAACCGGCUACGGAGGCUUGAGUCCGGCAGCUAUGGCAGCUGCUAAAGCAGCAAAAUAUGGUGCCCUCGGCCGCAGACGGAAGUAGCCCCGAACUGACCGCCGAUCUUUCACCUCAUGAACUUUGGUGCUACUGCCUGGUCUCGAAUGUACCCCCCACCCACCCACCCACCCUCCUUCAGCCACGGAAGCCCUCUCCCUUGGCACCGUCCUUGCCUCUGCCCCACACAGCCGCCCAAAGACGGCCCGCCGAGCCCCUUUGCCCUGUCUUUGGUGCUACUUCGACCAUCUCCUUGGCGGAGGGGCGGGGGUCGCCCAAGCACUUUAGCUUCCCCUGGGGGUCCAUAGCCGCUCCUUUGCUCCCUGGGUUGCUUCACAGAGUCAUAGAACCUUAGGGUUGGAAGGGAGCCCUAAAGGCCAUCUAGUCCAACCCUCUUCUGCCAGGAAGGAAGACAUAAUAAAUCCACGAAACAAUAAUAGGAUCCCAGAGUUGGAAGGGACCCCAAAGACCAUCCAGCCCACCCCUCUUCUGCCAGGAAGGAAGACAUAAUAAAUGCAUGAAACAAUAAUAGGAUCCCAGAGUUGGAAGGGACCCCAAAUGCCAUCCAGUCCAACCCUCUUCUUCCAGGAAGGAAGAUAGAAUCAAUAGGAUCUGAGAGUUGGAAGGGAUCCCCAAAGACCAUCCAAUCCAACCCUCUUCUGCCAGGAAGGAAGACAUAAUAAAUCCACGAAACAAUAAUAGGAUCCCAGAGUUGGAAGGGACCCCAGAGGUCAUCCAGUCCAACCCUCUUCUUCCAGGAAGGAAGACUUAAUGAAUGCAUGAAUCAAUCGAUCAAUAAAUCAAUCAUAGGAUCCUAGAGUUGGAAGGGACCCCAAAGGCCAUCUAGUCCAACUCUCUUCUGCCAGGAAGGAAGACUUAAUGAAUGCACGAAUCAAUCGAUCAAUAAAUCAAUCAUAGGAUCCUAGAGUUGGAAGGGACCCCAAAGGCCAUCUAGUCCAACUCUCUUCUGCCAGGAAGGAAGACUUAAUGAAUGCAUGAAUCAAUCGAUCAAUAAAUCAAUCAUAGGAUCCUAGAGUUGGAAGGGACCCCAAAGGCCAUCUAGUCCAACUCUCUUCUGCCAGGAAGGAAGACUUAAUGAAUGCACGAAUCAAUCAAUCAAUCAAUCAAUCAAUAAUAGGAUCCCAGAGUUGGAAGGGACCCCAAAGGUCAACUAGUCUAACCCUCUUCUGCCAGGACGGAAGACUUAAUGAAUGAAUGCAUGAAUCCAAUCAAUCAAUCAAUCAAUCAUAGGAUUCUAGAGUUGGAAGGGACCCCAAAGGUCAUCCUGUCCAACCUUCUUCUGCUAGGAAGGAAAAUACAAUAAAUCCCUGAACCAGUUAUAGGAUCCUAGAGUUGGAAGGGAUCCCAAGGGUUAGGGUGACUUCCAGGCAGGAAGUCACAAUCCGAACCCUCCCGACAGAGGGCCGGUGUGGCAUCUCUUUUGCUACCAUGUGAACCAACGGCUCCAUUAUGUCCUGGUCUCCAGAGCGGCAAAAAACAAAGCUUGCCUCCUUCUUCGUCCAAGAAUCUAAACCUGGCUCUCCUGUCACUUUUUCUCGGCUAAACAUCCCCAUCUCCUUAAGAGGGAAUUAUAGUUUUCCAGACCUUUGACCAUUGUGGUGACCGCUCCGUCUUGUCCAUAUCCUGGAUGGAAGGCUGUUCCCGGUGAGGUCUGACCAAAGCAGAAUAGAGCGGGAUCCUGAUUUCUCCCAAUAGAAUCACAUUGGCCUUUUUAGCUGCAGCAUGACACUGUUGGCUCAAAAGGCGUGCUAGUUUUAUUCCAGGUCAAGCGGUCUGACCAAAGCGGAAGAGAGUGGGACAAUGGCUUUCCUUCCCUUUGAUCUGGACACUAGACUCUUAUGGACGCGGCCUAGGAUUCGAGGCUGACGCUUCUGGACUUUUUCUUUCCCCGGCGGGAUUGACCUUAAUCCCGAGGCCGCAGCUGGCCUUUCUCUCCUUCCUCCCUUUCCUGGCUUCCAUAGGGCCAGAUUAGUCCCAAAACCCGUGUCACAACGGUCCAGAUCUGACCCCGUCCCAUCCGGGCGACCCGCCAAACCCGUCCUGUUUUUUUUUAAUUUUCCCCAAACAAACCCCAAACGCCGAAUUUUCCCAAAACGAACAAAACAGAAAAAAACAAAAACAAAAAAAUGGAAUGGAAUUUAAGUAAUAAUAAUAAUAAUAAAAAUUACCUGACUAAUAAAUAACUUUUUAAAGGAAACCGAAGUUGAUUGUCUUUUUUUUUUUGCUUUGGGAAUGUUUCUCUAUCCUGGGAGUUGUAGUUUGACAAGGUCUCCGGCCUUUUUCUGGGUUUCAGAUGCUGGUGGGGUAUUCUGGGCAGUCCCUUUUUUAAAUCAUGUUAGAAGCGACUUGAGACAUCCCAGUGUUCCUGACUCUCUCCAUUGAUGUGGAAUUUGCAUAACCCCGCCCACUUCCUCUCCCUUAACCCUUUCCUAUUUUUCUCUAUGGCACACAGUGAAGGAAUUGAUCGGCAUCUGAACAUACUAGAGAGGUUUGGGGAGAAUUCACCAUGAUUUUAGGAGUUGUAGGUACUGGGAUGUAUAGUUUACCUGCAAUCUAAGAUCACUAUGAACUUCACCAACGAUGGACCUGGAACCAACGUGGCAUACAGAACCCUCAUGACCAAGAAAAAAUACUGGCCAUCUUCAGAGGGAUUUAUAGGAGUUGUAGUUCACCUCCAUCCAGAACGCACUAUGAACCCAAACAAUGAUGGAUCUGGACCAAACUUGGCAUGCAUACCCAAUAUGCCCACAUUUGAAUACUGGUGGGUUUUGAAGGGAAUUGGUGUGGACAUUUUGGAGUUGUGGGUACUGGGAUAUAUAGUUCACCUGCAAUCAAUGAGCACCCUGAACUCCACCAAAGAUGGAAUUGGACCGAACUUGGAACACAGAGCCGUUAUGACCAGCAAAAAAAAACUGGAGGUUUUUGGGGGAAAUUCACCUUGAUUUGUGGGAGUUGUAGUUCACCUACCUCCAACCCAAACACCGAAGGAUCUGGACCAAACUUGGCAUACCCAGAUAUCUAAUAUGCUGAAUUUUGAUGACUGGAGGGGUUUGGGUUAGGGUUAAGGAACUGACCUUCCUUUCUGGGAGUUGUAGUUCACCCACAAUCAGGGAAACUGUGAAUUCCUCUGGUGAUGGAUCUGGACCAAACUUGGCAUACCCAGAUAUCUAAUAUGCUGAAAUUUGAUGACUGGAGGGGUUUGGGUUAGGGUUAAGGAACUGACCUUCCUUUCUGGGAAUUGUAGUUCACCCACAAUCAGGGAAACUGUGCCUUCCACCAGUGAUGGAUCUGGACUAAACUUGGCACACACACAGACCUGAUAUGCUAAAAUUUGAUUACUGGAGGGGUUAGGGUUAAGGAACUGACCUUUCUUUCUGGGAGUUGUAGUUCACCCACAACUAGGGAAACUGUAACUUCCACCGGUGAUGGAUCUGGACCAAACUUGGCACUCAGAACCCUCAUGACUAACUCAACCUACUGGAGGGGUUUGAGGGGGACUGAGUCCACGUAGUGGGAGUUGUAGUUCACCCUACAGCUAGGAAGCACAUUCAACCUCAUUGAUGAUGCAUCCAGAGCAAACUUGCGCAACAUCACAAACUUUAAGUACUGAUGGGUUGUU